UGGUAAAAUGUGAUGUACCUAGUAAUAUUAGUGAUUAAUAUGAGGCUAACCGAGUUAGUUAAAAUUCUAAGUAUAUAUGUGAUUAUGACAAUAUGUGCUUAUUUCUUGACCAAGUCACGUGCCAGCCGUCGCGGUAAUACGUGGAAGAUCAGUGUUAUUCAUCUUUAUCAGGUUUAAAGGGUACCUAGACGGUUAAUUAAGCUUUAGUAGGAACUAAUUAACUAGAGUUUAAUGUAAGAAUGAUUGAGUACGGUGAGUGUAGAGAUAAAAUUCUGUCAUACCACUUAGGAACUGGUAAAAGCGAAGGCAACUUUCUAUGUAAAAACUGACGUUAAGGGACGAAGGCUCGUAUCAAAUAACAGGAUUAGAUACCCCAGCAUUGUGGGCAGACAAUGAUGAGUGUCAUAUGCAAGAGAUAAAUAUAUAAAAAAAUAUUUUGUGUAUAAAUGAAAGUGUAAGCACUCCACCUCAAGAGUAACGUGGCAACAUGGGAACUGAAAUCAUUAGACCGUUUCUGAAACUCGUAGUGAAGUAUGUUGUUUAAUUAGAUGGUGCACAAAUAACCUUACCACAAUUUGUAUAACUAUAGUACAUAAUAAUAAUAUAGUUACAAGCGUUGCACGGCUGUCUUUAGUCUAUGUUGUGAAACUGUGGUUAGAUCCAUUAAAUAGACGUAAACCCUUACUUUAUUUAUUAUAAAGUAGUUCGCCGCUAUAUUGGUAGUGAUAUAAGGAACUAGGACAAGUCAUCAUGACCUGAACAUUGU
rnacentral:rRNA from 1 species